rnacentral:rRNA from 1 species
UACGGAGGGUGCAAGCGUUAUCCGGAUUCACUGGGUUUAAAGGGUGCGUAGGCGGGCAGGUAAGUCCGUGGUGAAAUCCCUGAGCUUAACUCAGAAACUGCCAUGGAUACUAUUUGUCUUGAAUAUUGUGGAGGUAAGCGGAAUAUGUCAUGUAGCGGUGAAAUGCUUAGAUAUGACUUAGAACACCAAUUGCGAAGGCAGCUUACUACACAGUUAUUGACGCUGAGGCACGAAAGCGUGGGGAUCAAACAGG